GGUGUGUAGGGGCAACCCACCCCUACACUCCAUAAUCAAAAGAACGUCAUGCCACAUGUUCUAGAAGUUAAAAACCUCAAUUAACAAAGAGGUCUCUUUCAGUGUUUCACUCCACUGGACAAACGGUAUCCCUUUGUAGAUUCAAAAUAAUUUUCUGGACAGAUUUAGUGACAUCUUUCCAAUGUAUAUUAUUACUACUCCUUUCAAACAAUCUUUUUCAAGUCUGCUAAUUUAGAACUACAGGGUCAACUCUCCCCUGUCCUGUUGACAGAGCCCUUCUUCCCCUGCUGUCUACAAGGCAGUCUUAGAGGGGUCUUAAGUGUAUAGUUAGGUAAAAAAGGAGACCCUAUAAGUCCUGAUAUGUGAGAGACCUGGGGUAUGGCGUCUCUUUGUCUUUGGUUGGCAGGCACUCUCUCUGAUCCUUCCUGCAAGGCAGAUCUUAUAAAGAACAAUGUCGACCGGGUUAAAGUGAACUUUGUUGUCUCCAC
rnacentral:lncRNA from 1 species